CUUGUUUCAAACUGACAGAAUGAGUAUUAGAGAUGUUUCAGCUACUGGAGGUUUGGCUUUGCCAUGCAACAUAUGUAAAGUUAAAGCGGGCUCUUGGACGACUGUUUUGACCAUUAAGCUUCUUCUUGCACAUCCACCGUUCUGCAUAAAGAUAUUACAUGUACAGUAUAAUAAGGCCUAAUGCAGUGACCAUAAACACCGUCUGACUUCAGCCAGUCACACCGUAUAAAAGUCUGUCCGAUGGUCCGGAGCAUCUACAGGGUCAUCUGCGUCCUGGUCGGGCACAGGUAGAAGUUUUAGUCCUGAUGCCUGAUUUCCGUCCUCACAUUUGGUGCUAAAAGCUAUCGUGGACCCUGCUAUGACUGAUAGUUCAUCGUGGGUGUGGUAUCUGGGUCUCUGUUGUUGAACCUGUGGGUCUUGGCAGGUCUGGUCACACAGGAUGCACCAUGAGGAUCUAAAACACAAACUCCAAAGUUGUAGUGCCGAUGCCUUCAGUAAAAAAACCUCCCAUCUUGAUCUCCAGAUGUGUUUAACGUCAAAGAGCUGGUGACCUGUAAUGAAGGCAGAGGCAUCAGUAAUGAUGAUUUCACUCAUGUUCAGUUGCAAUCAGGAUAAAUAAGAUGCUGAACCUUGAGCUUGACCCCAAAAGGAGAAGAUCUGAAGGUGUGUUUGACCCUCAGAUCUUUGGGAGCUCGCCCGUUCUUGCCAUCCAAGGUUGAACAUGUUUGCAGAGCUCUUGGUGAUGGUGAUGAUGAUGCUGAAGCAACUGCCAACUGUUCCUUUGUGCUCUCUCUUAUGACCGAUCUAAUGCCUCCUCAUCAGUGCCAAGGGUUUUUAGGUUAGAUUGACAUUUAGCCAAACAAACGGCAUCCUGUGUGAGCACGUCUAACGCCGUGGCCUGGUGCUACUGACAGCCAGUGCAUGCAGCUUGUUGAGCGAGCCCAGGACUGGUCGUCCAUCUGUGGUGCUCUCUACCAGCAGCGUGCGUGUUCGUCCACUCCUGAUCUCUAAUGCCCAGCAGCUGUGUCGUCAGCGUGGCCAUACAGCCACUGGGAUUUUUACAGCAGCAUUUCCUGUCUCGAGUCCUGUUAGGUGCUAUCAGACCUGGCCUCACGUCCUGUCACUGACCCGUUCAGCAGUGACCAGGGUGUAGUGUAGACCUGUACCAGAGUCCAUGGUUUGACUCCAUUCAGGUGGAUUUGUUCUUAACACCCACAGUUUUACUGAAGCGCAGUCACUCGAUGAGGUUUGGGGCAGGUCGUGGUCGAGUCCAGAACGAUGGGUAGAAGCUGCGUUUUGACUCUUUGUGGUUCUCCAAAUGAUUUUCCAGCAGACCUCACCGCUUUACCCAAAGGGAAGCUUGCAGAGAUCCAGAGAUGGGUCCGAACGUGGAAGACUGAGUGCUGUAGUAUUUCAUGUUGGUAAUAUUCUCCACUGCUGAGCAGGUUCAGGUGUUUGAGGCCAGGCAGGUGCUGUCCACGUCUCUGACUGUUCAAGGUGCUCAGUGUCUUUUCAUUGUUGGUUGUAUACAAACCUCCGUUCAGCUCUUCUCCUCACCUGGAGUUUCAUAGAAAGUGGUCACCUGUUAACAGAGCUGGGGUCAAACUCCUCCCCGAUUCUGACAUCAUCAGGGAUUCUGCGGCAACUCUGUGUGAAGGAACCUCGAAUUUUGCCUUUUAAUGCACCGCGCCUGCCUCUUUCCCACUGCUGUGGUGCUGAAACAGCGGCCCCACCAGAGAGCCUGCUGCUCCUGAAGUUAGGACCCGUGCCGUCAAACGCUACGGGAGGGCCUACCGCAAGAAAUUCAUCCAGUGAUUGGCAGACUCUGGGUGGGGUGCUUUUCGCGCAGACAUUAGCCCAACAUCUGCUAACGAUUCUCAGAUCUGUGUGCUGGGUCUGGCACCAGUGGAAAAGCGGUCAUUGUGACAAGCUCCGGUACUUCCUGCUUCCUCAGACGUCCUGUUUCUGUCCCCGACCACACAGUGCUUCAGCUCUGCUGUUUGCGUCUCUUCACCAAACCUGCCACGAUGAAGCUCGGACGCCUUUGUGUUCCUAAUUGUUGAGUUUGGGUCCGUUUGUAAUUACAGUCUGUGUUCACACUCUGUUUGUUUUUCGCCGUAAGGUUAAGGUGUCACCGUUUCUCUGUGCAACAGUCUGUAGAUAGAUGCUCUAUUGAUCCCACAAGGGAACUGGGACCCAUCAAGACAUGUGGCAUAGUCUGCUCGUGUUAUCCUCACGGAGAACCUCGUUAGAAUAACGGAUUCUGCAUUUCACAAACCAGCGUCAGUGUUUCAGCCUCCUUUCAUUCAAGUAAAUCGGAUGGAUGUCAUAUGACCACACCUUCAGUAGUUUCAGAUGUUUCCUCUGAGUUGUGUACCCAAACCAUGUCUGUUGGUCCAGUUAGAGAAAGAACAACAGAAACUCGUCCAGAUCAGGCUGUUUAGCCAUCUGUUCUGCUUUUGUCUUAUUACUCUGCUUUCCUGAUGAGCUGAUGUCAGCUGUUCCCCAGAUCUGAGUCCUGAACAUAAAACAACACAUCAUUGGCGUAGAGUGUAUCUCCUCUCGCUCCUGUUCAGUCUAAACAUGGCCAAAGCUUCAAACGUUAACCUGCAGGCCAACUACAGAAACUAGAGCCCCGGGUGCUGCCCCUCAGCAGGCUUCCAGAAGACAGCGAGCGUGAUUUCAGGCCAGGCUUUAGUGGACCAAGCUUUGACUGGUCAGUCCACCGGGUGUGGUGAAAUACGUUUUAACUGAGGUUUAAUAACUAAAUAAAUGUGGGCCCGUGUCUUCCUGGCCUCCUGUUAACACUUGAUGGCUGUUUCAACACAUCCAGAAUUAUUUGCUGUCAUUAACGGGCAGCUCCCUCUUUGCCUUUAAAUCUAUAUUUCACAGAUGUGUGGUGUCAUCACUAAGCCCCACCUCCUGCUGUUGAGUAACUCGGUAACAAAAUAAACACGAGCACCUUAAAUCCGUUAAAGCUGACGACGUGUCUUGGCGCAUUUGACCAGUGAAAACUAAAAGGAACGUGGGACGCUACGCAGCUGCUCAGCUUGUUUUCACGGCGACAAAAACAGCCAUUAACGUUAGCUUAAACGAGGUCGCUAGCACAAUGCUAACAAUAACUUUCCUUCUGCUUUGCUGUUUAAGGACGGCCCCUUUUUGGGGCGGGGUUUGUGGUCUCGAUCAGAUGUGGUUUUGUACCCGACUCCGAGCCUCGUGUCACACGUCAGCUGCACACAGGUGUUCAUUUUAGUUUCCAAUCAACAAACAAAAAAUGCCACCUGACUACAAACUAUAUCACCAUGGCAACAUGUUAAUCUGACCCCCCCUCUUUUAUUCCUCCUCUCUUUGUUUUAUAAAGAAAUAAAAACACUGUAAAGGUGAAUAAACUAUUUAUAAACAGCUGCUCAUUGUUUGAUUUUUGUUUGCUUGGUUUUAGAACUACGACUCCCAUAAUGCUUCAGGUGUCUGUCAGUACGAAAAAGAAUUUCUCUUAAGGUCCAUUUGCUCUGUUAUCAAGUGCUCAGUGCGCUGCUUUAAGGGAAGAAAAUGGCUUUGGGGCAUUUUGUUGAAUAAACUCUUGGUGAA
ensembl:lncRNA